UUGAAUGGCGCGAAGUUUUCCAGGACCUCAAUCAUCACGGGGUUUAUCACAGCGGAGAAGUGGUAGGGCUGGGAAAUCUGGUCUGCGAGAAAUGUCACUUCCAUCUCCCGAUCUACACACCGGAAGUGCUGACGCUAUGCCCGAAAUGUGGUCAUGACCAGUUCCAGAGACGCCCGUUUGAGCCGUAAUAGUCUGAUUUC
rnacentral:misc_RNA from 1 species